rnacentral:rRNA from 1 species
AGAGUUUGAUCCUGGCUCAGGACGAACGCUGGCGGUGUGCUUCACACAUGCAAGUCGAGCGAAUGAAGAAGGUAGCUUGCUACUUUUGGAUUUAGCGGCGGACGGGUGAGUAAUAUAUAGGAAUCUGCCCUAGAGCGGGGAACAACAGACCGAAAGGUUUGCUAAUGCCCCAUAGGUACGCAGUCUUCGGAUUGUUUAUUAAAGGAGUAAUCCACUCUAGGAUGAGCCUGUAUCCGAUUAGCUAGUUGGCGGGGUAAAGGCCCGCCAAGGCUACGAUCGGUAGUUGGUCUGAGAGGAUGAUCAGCCACAAUGGGACUGAGACACGGCCCAUACUCCUACGGGAGGCAGCAGUGGGGAAUUUUACACAAUGGGGGAAACCCUGAUGUAGCGACACCGCGUGAACGAAGAAGCCUUUUGGGGUGUAAAGUUCUGUCGGCUGGAACGAAAAAAAUGACGGUACCAGCAAAGGAAGCAUCGGCUAACUACGUGCCAGCAGCCGCGGUAAGACGUAGGAUGCAAGCGUUGUCCGGAUUUAUUGGGCGUAAAGAGUUCGUAGGCGGUUAUUUAAGUCUGGUGUUAAAUACUGUGGCCCAACCACAGAACUGCAUUGGAUACUGGAUGACUUGAGUGCGGUAGAGGCGAGUGGAAUUCCCAGUGUAGCGGUGAAAUGCGUAGA